UAAUACUGUAUAAUCCCUGCGGGGGAAAGAUUUAUCGCUAUUAGAUGAGCCUAUGUUAGAUUAGCUAGUUGGUAGGGUAAAGGCCUACCAAGGCAGUGAUCUAUAGCUGGUCUGAGAGGAUGAUCAGCCACACUGGAACUGAGAUACGGUCCAGACUCCUACGGGAGGCAGCAGUGGGGAAUAUUGGACAAUGGGCGAAAGCCUGAUCCAGCUAUGCCGCGUGAGUGAGGAAGGCCUUAGGGUUGUAAAACUCUUUCAGUGGGGAAGAUAAUGACGGUACCCACAGAAGAAGUCCCGGCAAACUCCGUGCCAGCAGCCGCGGUAAUACGGAGGGGGCAAGCGUUGUUCGGAAUUAUUGGGCGUAAAGGGCAUGUAGGCGGUUCGGUAAGUU
rnacentral:rRNA from 1 species